rnacentral:rRNA from 1 species
GUCAAGUCAUCAUGGCCCUUACGACCAGGGCUACACACGUGCUACAAUGGCAUAUACAAAGAGAAGCGACCUCGCGAGAGCAAGCGGACCUCAUAAAGUAUGUCGUAGUCCGGAUUGGAGUCUGCAACUCGACUCCAUGAAGUCGGAAUCGCUAGUAAUCGUAGAUCAGAAUGCUACGGUGAAUACGUUCCCGGGCCUUGUACACACCGCCCGUCACACCAUGGGAGUGGGUUGCAAAAGAAGUAGGUAGCUUAACCUUCGGGAGGGCGCUUACCACUUUGUGAUUCAUGACUGGGGUGAAGUCGUAACAAGGUAACCGUAGGGGAACCUGCGGUUGGAUCACCUCCUUA